AUUGAACGCUGGCGGCAGGCCUAACACAUGCAAGUCGAACGGUAACAGGAAGACGCUUGCUUCUUUGCUGACGAGUGGCGGACGGGUGAGUAAUUUCUGGGAAACUGCCUGAUGGAGUGGGAUAACUACUGGAAACGGUAGCUAAUACCGCAUAACGUCGCAAAACCAAAGAGGGGGACCUUCUGGCCUCUUGCCAUCGGAUGUGCCCAGAUGGGAUUAGCUAGUAGGUGGGGUAACGGCUCACCUAGGCGACGAUCCCUAGCUGGUCUGAGAGGAUGACCAGCCACACUGGAACUGAGACACGGUCCAGACUCCUACAGGAGGCAGCAGUGGGGAAUAUUGCACAAUGGGAGCAAGCCUGAUGCAGCCAUGCCGCGUGUAUGAAGAAGGCAUUCGGGUUGUAAAGUACUUUCAGCGGGGAGGAAGGGAGUAAAGUUAAUACCUUUGCUCAUUGACGUUACCAGCAGAAGAAGCACCGGCUAACUCCGUG
rnacentral:rRNA from 1 species